CAAAGACCCCAAGAAAACACCCAAAGCACCAAGCUGAAAAAAAUCCAUCAAAUCGCCGGCGUAGUUGAUGGCGGAGGAGAAUCAAGAAGAAACCCUAGUCUUGAAACCAAGAAGUAAACCACCUCACUUCGUGUUAAUACACGGCAUAAGCUUAGGAUCAUGGUGCUGGUACAAAAUCAAAUGUCUCAUGGAAGUCUCUGGCUUCACCGUCACUUGCAUCGACCUCAAAUCCUCCGGCAUCGAUCCUUCCUCUGCCGAUUCUCUAACUUCCUUCGACCAAUACAACCAACCACUCACCGACUUCCUCUCCUCCUUGCCCGAACAAGAACAGGUCAGACACACACAAAAGAUAACUAAAAAACUAACUUAGUUAAUUCUUGAAGCCUAAGCAAACUCACUCUGUUUCCUCUGUUUUAUGUUUUGUCAUCAGGUGAUACUUGUGGGUCACAGUGCAGGAGGGCUUAGCGUAACGAGCUCGAUACAUAAAUUCCCUAAGAAAAUCUCUCUAGCUGUUUAUAUUGCAGCUACAAUGCUCAAAUUCGGGUUUCAGACCGAUGAAGAUUUGAAAGAUGUAAUUAAAUAAAUAAAAAAUUACUUUAAAAUGAAGGUAACUUGUGAGUGACGUUUUGUUGUUCUUUCACAGGGAGUACCUGAACUAUCAGAACAUGGUGAUGUUUAUGAGCUUGGUUUCGGUUUAGGACACGAACAUCCUCCGACCAGUGCCCUUAUCAAACCGGAGUACCGUCGAAAGCUCCUUUACCACAUGAGUCCUCAACAGGUAUUUUCUAUUUUAUUUUAUUUUAUUUCUCUAGGUUUCAAAUCAGAUAUUUUUUUCUCACAAUCCAAAUCUGUUGUCCUUAUGCUCGCCGUUUUUGUUUAUGAAUGUUGUCAAGGAAUGUGCGUUGGCUGCGUUACUAAUGAGACCAGGUCCGGUUCUGGCGCUAACGACAGCAAAGGUUGAAGAAAAAGGACAAGAAGUGGAGGAGCACGUGCCGCGCGUGUUCAUCAAGACGUUGCACGACCGGGUGAUGAAACCGGAGCAGCAGGAGGCGAUGAUGAAAAAGUGGCCACCGAGAGAAGCGUACGAAGUGGACAGUGACCAUUCACCUUUCUUCUCUAACCCUUUUGUGCUCUUUGGUUUACUCAUCAAAGCUGCCGUUUCUGUUGGUUCCAAUACUGAUAUUUAGUAGACAUGUUACUCGAGUUAACUCUAAUCAAACAGAAAAUGCCCAAUCGUUGCUUUCUCUAUAUUCUCUCUCUGCCUUUGAGGUUGCCCUAAAUAUACAACCUGAUGAUGGUUUAGCGGUGAGAAAUUAGUGGUAGUCUUAUUUUGUUGAAACUAUAUUAUAGAUUGAAUUUUUGAUAUACACUCAUUCAAAUGUCUACCACAGAGAAAAAGAAGGUUUAUAAUGAAAAUGAAUCUGAUUCCCUCGUCCACAAAGACUCUGACAAUUGGCAAAGGCUUUCUUUCUUUUUGCACAUGUCUCCGCUCAGGCCAUUUCAUAUGUCACCUCUCACACUUAUUGGAUUGUCCCCCGCUCCUCUAAAUAUCAAAAGCAUCUGAUGCAGUUGAAUGCACGUAAGACUAUUCAAGAAAACAUCUAAAUUCACUAUUAUGUUGAAAAAAUGAAUGGCCUAAGCGGAGAUGUUGUAUUUUCUGAUCAAGAAAUUUUAUUUUAUUUUUUGGAUUUUGUAACGAUUUGUUAGGCGGGUUAUCCGGUCGCUGAAGACUACACGUUUCUUGGUUAAAAAAACCUUAAAACUGGUUAGAGGAGAAAGAGUUAGAGAGCCAUGAGUGGGAAAACCUCAUAAUACGGAAUAUUGCAUACUAGAAUAUUACAACUUGAGUUAUGAUCAUAAGUCAUGUCAUUUUCAUUUACACGUUGGCUUGUCUUUAUUGAAAGUAAAAAAUAUGUAAUGUUACAAAAUAAACCGAAAGUUAAGGAGAUAUUGAAGAAAAUAAGGAAAACACGUUACUCUCUGAAAAGGAGGUGAUAUCUUCAUCUUUGUUUGUGACAUUUCUCCUUUUCCCUCUUCUCAAUCAGUGGUUAAUUAUUUGCACCUAUUUGAUUUCCUUUAUUUUGUUCAAAAGUCGUAAUUCUUUUAAUUUAUAAUUUGAUAGUUCUACGUAGAUAUCAUGACAUUUACGUUUUCUAACUUUACUGAUCAUUAAACAUACGUUCAACAAGUCAAAUAGUUUCGAGUUUUUGACGUGUAAGGUAAAACUAGAAGGCCUUCGAAUGACACCCAUUUAUUCUGAUAUUGAUUUUUUGGGCAAACUCAAAUGGUUCAUAACAUUACAUUUUGUCAAGACCGAAGUGUUCCGUGUAAGAUUUAUUCUUUAUUUUUAGCAACGAGCCAUUGUAAUGGUCAAUGAACGUUAUUGUUUUUACGUUACAAAUUUGACCGAGAAAAAACUAGUAAUCCUACAUAAUCAAUUUUAGUCAGAAUACAAAUGAAUCCUAGCACGGGCCAUUAUAAUAUAUGUUUCACACGUGACAUACCUGAAUCUAUGUAACAUUUUAUAAUAGCGAUGACUAUUUGUAUACUCGAAUACAGCUAUCAAAUACUAGAUUUUCUGUUGUGAGUCGAGAUUAAUCAUUAUUUACAUACGUCCUCGAAUUAACCUAAACAUUAAGGUGGAAAUCCCGCUCAAGAUUAAAAGCUGUUUAGUGGAUAUAAACGUGUAACUAGUGCGAAUAAACACACAAAUACAAAUCGUAAGAAUAUAGUCAGCAGACAAUUAUUACUCAUUGACUAUCUCAACUAUACGGAGAUGCAAUAAACCAAGUGCCAUACACCAAAGUCGGAUCCACAAUCAAAUCGACAAACAUAUAUAACUAUGUAUAUAUAGAUGCAAACUAUACCCUUUUUCUUCUUCCUUUAAUUUUCUUAAAAUUGGUGGUGAUUGAUCGCAACAUACGUAAGUAUACAUUUGGAAAAAGAAAUACAUAAAGAAAAAAGCAGAAAUCUUGAAAUGUACAAAAUGCCAGAGUUAACUUGAUGGGAAAAGAUUAUCCAUUUCCAUAAAUCUCUUGAUUUUUUUUUUGUAAUAUUUUUCCAGUAAAUCACUUUUUAAUUGCUUUAUUAAUCUAUUAGAUAUUUUACCAAAUAAACUAAUCAGUUGUUCGAUUAAUUUUGGUAAAAAAAACUGUUUAAUAAGCUAGGUUGCAUGGAAACAGAAACGGAUACGCGGAAACGGUUUCGUUUCGAAACGUGGAAACUUGAUUUUUUUAUUUUUUUUGCUUUAGAAAUGUUUUAGAAACGUCUAUAUAUAUAUAUAUAUAACUGAUUAAUAUUUAUAUUCAUUUUUGUUAUGUUUAGUAUAUCUUUUUUGAAAAUAUAUGUUUAAUAUAUCUUAAAAUACAAAUAAAUAAAUAGCCAUUCUAUUUAAUCAUACAAAAAUAAAAUAAAUCAUCAUUAAACAUCAAAGUUAUAUAAAAAAAUCAAAAUAACAAAAACCCAGUACUUAAAUAUUAAAUAACUUAACUAAAAUAAAAAUCAUAACAACAAGUCAUAACCAAUUGGAAAGUUCUAGCGUUUCCAAAACAGAAACGCGAGUUUCCAAAAUAGAAACGCAAGUUUCCACUAAGUUUCCAAACUGAGAUUUUUAAGAAACGAGUUUCCAAAGCGUUUCCGUGAGUUUCCGAGAGAUUCCGAUUCCGAAACGUUUCCGAAAUGUGAAACGGACCUUCAACCGAGUUUCCAUGCAACGUAGUUAAUAAGACCCAAACAGAAAAAGAAAACAGAAUUGGCUGAGCGAGAAAAUAAGCUGCAGAAGGAAAAUUUCCCUAGAAAUUCUACUUAAGUUGCAUGCAUACUACUAGUUAUCAAAUUUCUAUGAAAAUUAAAGUUUUAUUUUUAUUUCCUUCAACUUAUGUUAUAACUGGAUAAAACUUCUAUGAAAAGUCAACAGAUAUUUUCAUCAUUUCAUAAGAAUAAAAUAAUUACUGAUUAAUGUUGAAACGUUACAGUAAGAAAAAAAAUCACACUAAAAGGAAAUGGGAAGAAGCAAACAUAUAUCUUCCACCACUGUGUAUGCGCUUGACAUAUGUGACAAAGACCCCAAGAAAACACCCAAAGCACCAAGCUGAAAAAAAUCCAUCAAAUCGCCGGCGUAGUUGAUGGCGGAGGAGAAUCAAGAAGAAACCCUACUCUUGAAACCAAGAAGUAAACCACCUCACUUCGUGUUAAUACACGGCAUAAGCUUAGGAUCAUGGUGCUGGUACAAAAUCAAAUGUCUCAUGGAAGUCUCUGGCUUCACCGUCACUUGCAUCGACCUCAAAUCCUCCGGCAUCGAUCCUUCCUCUGCCGAUUCUCUAACUUCCUUCGACCAAUACAACCAACCACUCACCGACUUCCUCUCCUCCUUGCCCGAACAAGAACAGGUCAGACACACACCCGA
rnacentral:lncRNA from 1 species